rnacentral:lncRNA from 1 species
AAGACAGGGUCUCAUUUGCUCUGACUCUUAAGCUGGAGAGUAGUGGCGCAAGCAUGGUUCACUGAAACCUUGACCUCCUGGACUCAAGUGAUCGUCCCACCUCAGCCUCUUGAGUAGCUGAGACCACAAAUGCACACCACUGCACCUGGCUAAUUUAUUUUUAGUUUUUGUAGAUACAGGGUCUCCUUAUUUUGCCCAGGCUGGUCUUGAAUGCAUGGGCUCAAGCAAGGUACCCAACCUGGCCUCUCAAAAUGUUGGGAUUACAGGUCUGAACCACUGCACUCAGCCUGUAUGUACACUUAAGGAAUAAUUAUAAAAGUGAACUUUAUAGCUACCCAUCAUCCAGGUCCAAAAAGAACAUUUUCUUCACACCAGAAGUCCCCUGUGUACCCUUUCCUGAUCACAACUUCUUCUUCCCCUGAGGAGAUAAAUUACCAUCCUGACUUUUGGUAAUAAUCAUUAUCUGUUAUCACCAAACAUAAUUUAGUUUUGUGUGUUUUUGAACUUGAAUAGAUGAAAUUAUGCUGUUUACAGUAGUUCCCCCUUAUCUACGGGGGGAUAUGUUCUAAGACCCUCAGUGGAUGCCUGAAACAGCAGAUAGUACUGAACCUGAUUGCUGUCAAUGGAAACAUGUUUCUGUUUAUGUCUUCUACUCACAAAUUUAAUGCUUUUCACAUUUUAACUAAGCACUUAUCAUGCAUAGUGGCCAUAACGUUUGCAGUUUAAGGUGUGACAGCAAAACUAGCAUGAAUUUCUUUUUCUUUUUUUUUUUUUUUUUUGAGACGGAGUCUCUCUCUGUCACCCAGGCUGGAGUGCAAUGGCAUGAUCUUGGCUCACUGAAACCUCCACCUCCUGGGUUCAAGCAAUUCUCCUGCCUCAGCCUCCUGAGUAGCUGGGAUUACAGAUGUGCAUCACCGUGCCCAGCUAAUUUUUAUAUUUUCAGUAGAGAUGGGGUUUCAUCAUGUUGGCCAGGCUGGUCUCGAACUCCCAACCUCAGGUGAUCCACUCACCUCGGCCUCCCAAAGUGCUGGGAUUACAGGUGUGAGGCACUGUGCCUGGCCAUAAAUUUUUCUUUCCUCACAAUUCCACAGAAAGAAGACUCAUUUUUAUUGUAGAUCUUUUUUUUUUUUUUUUUGAGAUGGAGUUUCACUCUUGUCACCCAGGCUGGAGUGCAAUGGCACAGUCUUGGCCCACUGCAACCUCCCCAUCCCGGAUUCAAGCAGUUCUCCUGCCUCAACCCCCAGAGUAGCUGGGACUACAGACGCCCACCAUCAUGUCCCGCUAAUUUUUGUAUUUUUGGUAGAGACGGGGUUUCACCAUGUUGGCCAGACUGGUCUUGAACUCCUGACCUCAGGUGAUCCACCGGCCUCAGCCUCCCAAAGUGGUGGGAUUACAGGCGUGAGCCACCAUGCCUGGCCAUGACUUUCUUUUUCUUUCCUCACAAUUCCAGAGGGAGAAGAUUCAUUUUAUUGUAGAUCUUAGCAGCCUUGGCAUAUGAUUCUUUUCUUCUUAUGAAGUCAAAAACUUUUAUCUUUCCACUUAAAAGAAGCACUUUAAUAAAGUCUAAUGAAGUCUACCAGGGUAUUGUCACUUUGAGAGUGUGUGUUUGUGUGCAUAGGCGGGUGAUAAACUUGGAGAAUGAAUUUCAUACAUUGGUAUUGUGGUACAUAAUAGAAGUUGCCAAUGUAAGUAAGAAAGAGGAAGGAAGGAAGAAAGAAGGCAGGAAGUAAGGAAGGAAGAAAGAAGGGAGGGAAGGAUGGAGGCAGGUUUUGGGUGAUGCUGGCUUUACUGUUUCUCUUUAACAAAUCUGAAUUGCUAGCAUCACUACUCUUGGGCUUUAGGGCCUUUAUUAAGUAAAAUAACAUAAGCACUGUGAUGCUGAACAGUUGAUCUGAUAAGCCAGAGGGCUCCUAAGUGACUCUAAGGGGUGUGUAGUGUGUAGAGCAUGGAUAUGCUGGGUAAAGGGAUGAUUCAUGUUCCAGGUGGGAUGGAGUUGCAUGGUUCAGGGUUUCAUCUUGCUACUCAGAACAGCGCCUGAUGUAAAACUUAUCAAUUGUUUAUUUCUAGGAAUUCACAUUUAAUAUUUUAAAUAUUAAUAUUUAAAUGUUUGCAUUUAAUACUUUUUAAAUUCUGCAUUUAAUAAUUUGAAUUUAAGACUUGUAAGUCCAUUGUACUUCAUUGUUAUACACAUUAUUGUUCUCUUCUCUCUUUUGGUGUUUAGGAAUGCUUUGUGUUAACACAAAGGCCAGGGUGAGAGCUGCAAGCCAGGGAAAGAUGAACCGAGGCAUUUAGAUUACCACCUACAUUGGCUUGCCAGACAGAAGCUCUGCCUGGGGAUAAAGAUGAGGAUAAACAUAAGGCAUUUGGUGUUUCCUUUGUGUCCUGACUUAGAAAUCUGACCAUGGACGAUGGAACGGGAAACUCACAUUUUAGGGUGUAUUAAUAGCUCUCUUUAGUCUUGAGAAAUAUCAGUGAGGCUGAAAGUGCCUUGGAAUGACUUUGCAGGUUUAAGAUAUGAAUGGGAAAAAAAAGAAAAAGGGAAGAAAAGGAGUAAGGAGAAAAGAAAAGGAG